rnacentral:rRNA from 1 species
AACGAACGCUGGCGGCGCGCCUAAUACAUGCAAGUCGAGCGAGAAGACGUAGCAAUACGUUUGUAAAGCGGCGAACGGGUGAGGAAUACAUGGGUAACCUACCCUCGAGUGGGGAAGUAACUAGCCGAAAGGUUAGCUAAUACCGCGUACGCUCCUUGGACUUCGGUUCAGGGAGGAAAGCGAUACCGUGGGUAUCGCGCUCUUGGAUGGGCUCAUGUCCUAUCAGCUUGUUGGUGAGGAACGGCUCACCAAGGCUUCGACGGGUAGCUGGUCUGAGAGGACGAUCAGCCACACUGGCACUGCGACACGGGCCAGACUCCUACGGGAGGCAGCAGUAAGGAAUAUUGCGCAAUGGGCGAAAGCCUGACGCAGCGACGCCGCGUGAGGGAUGACGGCCU